CUGAGAGUGCCACUCAAGUGACUAGAUCAGAGUUGCUGUAAAGAUGCCUCUAAUAAACACCAUAUGCAAGUUUGUUUAGUGGCAUUUUUUAUUUCAAUAUUAUGCCUAAAGAUUUUGUUUUCCUUUAAAUAACAGUGGAAAACGUGAUGACUAUCUGAAGCCUUCAGAGCAGGAGGCUUCAUACUGAUUCCAGUCUUUCACGCUUGCCCUUGAAUUCUCCUCCUCGAUUUCCAUCUCUUCAGUUUCUUACUGACCAAACUGUUCUCACAUUCUUUUUUAUUUUUCUUAUGUCCUCAUUAUCUCUUUGGCUCCUAUUCCUACUCUCUCUCCUCAUUCUUCUUCUCACCUGAAGAAAUGUCCACUGCUGAAAUAUUGUAUUUUUUUUCUUUCUACUUUUCAGUGUGGAAUAAAGCUGUGCUUGUUCCUUUGAAGCUCACACUCUGACAAAUAGUAGCUACACACUCAAACUAUAUCUAAAGAUAACACCCUACUCAUUAAAAUAAUCCAUGGAAAGGAAAGCUAUAGAAGAACAACAACAAUAAUAAAUGAAGGUUAUUUUGUUUUUGUUUAAAGAGAGUCCAUGAUAUUGUUUCUGUAUAAAUGGAUAUUCCGUUCUGUGUAUAUGGGUUUUCUUAAUAAAUUCUUAAAUAAUUCCGUUA